rnacentral:rRNA from 1 species
UUAGAUACCCUAUUAUUUUAAAUGUAAAUUAAUAUACUAAGUGAUUAAUAGUUAAGUUCUUUAAAGCUAAAUAAUUUGGCGGUAUUUUAAACUUUUCAGAGGAACCUGUUCUAUAAUUGAUAAUCCACGAUAGAAUUAACUUAAAUUAGUAAUUUUUAUAUCAUCGUUAUUAAAUAUUUUAAAAGAAUUUAAUAUUUAAAAUUUCUUUAUAAAGAAAAAAAUCAGAUCAAGGUGAAGUUAAUAUUUAAGAAGAAAUGGGUUACAAUAAAUUUUAUUAAUGGAUUAAAAUUUUAAAAAUUAAAUGAAAUUGGAUUUGAAAGUAAUUAGUUAUAC